CCUACGGGUGGCAGCAGUGAGGAAUAUUGGGCAAUGGGGGCAACCCUGACCCAGCCAUGCCGCGUGAGUGAAGAAGGUCUUCGGAUUGUAAAGCUCUUUCGGACGUGACGAUGAUGACGGUAGCGUCUAAAGAAGCACCGGCAAAUUACGAGCCAGCAGCCGCGGUAAUACGUAGGGUGCGAGCGAUGGUCGGCAUGACUGGGCGUAAAGGGAGUGUAGGCGGAUAUGUAAGAUAGCGGUGAAAUGCCGGGGCUCAACACCGGAACUGCCAUUAUGACUAUGUUUCUAGAGUGAUGGAGAGGAUAGCGGAAUACCCAGUGUAGCGGUGAAAUUCGUAGAUAUUGGGUAGAACACCAGUGGCGAAGGCGGCUAUCUGGCCAUUUACUGACGCUGAGGCUCGAAAGCAUGGGGAGCAAACAGGAUUAGAUACCCCAGUAGUC
rnacentral:rRNA from 1 species